rnacentral:rRNA from 1 species
GUUAGUGGCGCACGGGUGCGUAACGCGUGGGAAUCUGCCCCUUGCUUCGGAAUAACAGUUAGAAAUGACUGCUAAUACCGGAUGAUGACUUCGGUCCAAAGAUUUAUCGGCAAGGGAUGAGCCCGCGUAGGAUUAGGUAGUUGGUGGGGUAAAGGCCCACCAAGGCGACGAUCAGUAGCUGGUCUGAGAGGAUGAUCAGCCACAUUGGGACUGAGACACGGCCCAAACUCCUACGGGAGGCAGCAGUGGGGAAUCUUGCGCAAUGGGCGAAAGCCUGACGCAGCCAUGCCGCGUGAAUGAUGAAGGUCUUAGGAUUGUAAAAUUCUUUCACCGGGGACGAUAAUGACGGUACCCGGAGAAGAAGCCCCGGCUAACUUCGUGCCAGCAGCCGCGGUAAUACGAAGGGGGCUAGCGUUGCUCGGAAUUACUGGGCGUAAAGGGAGCGUAGGCGG